GUGCUCACUUCGGCAGCACAUAUACUAAAGUUGGAACGAUACAGAGAAGAUUAGCGUGGCCCCUGCACAAGGAUGACAUGCAAAUUUUGUGAAGCAUUCCAUAUUUUU
rnacentral:snRNA from 1 species